rnacentral:misc_RNA from 1 species
AAACUUACCAUCUGCCCCCUGCAUCAUCCUGCUGGCAUUGUAUGAGGCUUUAGAAUUCGACAGCUUAUUUCUGCUGUAGUCUUGGAGUUCCUUCUACAGUGGGAAAAACAGAAAGUUCCAUAUAAUGGUACAACUAUCCUUCAUGUGACCUUAAUACAACUUAUCAAAUUUUCAAUACGGGGAAAGGGGAUCAUAUGUUAUCUUACUAUGAAUUUACUCUGCAAAGGAGUCCAAGUUUGAAGAGCUUAUACUCUGAUUUCUCCGUAACUAUUA